AAAAAGUUUUGACAUUUUCAAUUUUCUGUUUUGUUUUUAUUUGUUAAACUAUUUUUAUCACAACAAAUAAACAACUAUUUAACCAUCAACUAAUAGCUACAUAAAAAUAUAGAAGUGAAAUAGAGACAGUAAUCAUGUCUAGUGUAUCUGUGACUUCGUCGAAGCGUGAGAAAGUAACAGCAGAACUAACUCAAGAGAUAGAGUCAGUGAGAGCUAUGAACAGCAGUUUGAGAGCGUAUUUAGAACAUCUGCUGAUGUUCAAGAAAAACCUUCUAGCUAUGAACAAAAACUGCACACAAUUGCAUGAUGUUAACAAACAGUGGAUUGAUAUAUUGAGUAGUAUGAAAUAAUGUUAGUUUAAUGUUAAGUUUGGUUUAAUAAAUAAGUUUAAGUAACAA